rnacentral:rRNA from 1 species
UGGGGAAUAUUGGACAAUGGGCGAAAGCCUGAUCCAGCCAUGCCGCGUGUGUGAAGAAGGUCUUCGGAUUGUAAAGCACUUUAAGUUGGGAGGAAGGGCAGUAAGCGAAUACCUUGCUGUUUUGACGUUACCGACAGAAUAAGCACCGGCUAACUCUGUGCCAGCAGCCGCGGUAAUACAGAGGGUGCAAGCGUUAAUCGGAAUUACUGGGCGUAAAGCGCGCGUAGGUGGUUCGUUAAGUUGAAUGUGAAAGCCCCGGGCUCAACCUGGGAACUGCAUCCAAAACUGGCGAGCUAGAGUAGGGCAGAGGGUGGUGGAAUUUCCUGUGUAGCGGUGAAAUGCGUAGAUAUAGGAAGGAACACCAGUGGCGAAGGCGACCACCUGGGCUCAUACUGACACUGAGGUGCGAAAGCGUGGGGAGCUAACAGG